ACGGGGGGAGCAAGCGUUGUUCGGAUUUACUGGGCGUAAGGGGCGCGUAGGCGGCCACCGCAAGUCGACUGUGAAAUCUCUGGGCUUAACCCAGAAAGGUCAGCCGAUACUGCGGGGCUAGAGUGCGGAAGGGGCAACUGGAAUUCUCGGUGUAGCGGUGAAAUGCGUAGAUAUCGAGAGGAACACCGGUGGCGAAGGCGGGUCUCUGGGCCGAUACUGACGCUGAGGAGCGAAAGCGUGGGGAGCGAACAGGA
rnacentral:rRNA from 1 species